GCCUUCGUGGUGUAAUAGUCAGCACACUAGGCGCGCAUUCCAGAGGUCCAAGGUUCAAGUCCUGGCGAAAGCA
rnacentral:tRNA from 1 species